AUUGAACGCUGGCGGCAGGCCUAACACAUGCAAGUCGAGCGGCAGCGGGUCCUUCGGGAUGCCGGCGAGCGGCGGACGGGUGAGUAAUGCCUAGGAAUCUGCCUGGUAGUGGGGGAUAACGUUCGGAAACGGACGCUAAUACCGCAUACGUCCUACGAGAGAAAGUGGGGGAUCUUCGGACCUCACGCUAUCAGAUGAGCCUAGGUCGGAUUAGCUAGUUGGUGGGGUAAAGGCUCACCAAGGCGACGAUCCGUAACUGGUCUGAGAGGAUGAUCAGUCACACUGGAACUGAGACACGGUCCAGACUCCUACGGGAGGCAGCAGUGGGGAAUAUUGGACAAUGGGCGAAAGCCUGAUCCAGCCAUGCCGCGUGUGUGAAGAAGGUCUUCGGAUUGUAAAGCACUUUAAGUUGGGAGGAAGGGCAGUCAGUUAAUACCUGGUUGUUUUGACGUUACCAACAGAAUAAGCACCGGCUAACUUCGUGCCAGCCGCCGCAGUAACAC
rnacentral:rRNA from 1 species